UGGUCUAAAGUAGUGCACUAUAUAGAGAAUAGGGCCCUGGUCUAAAGUAGUGCACUAUAUAGAGAAUAGGGCCCUGGUCUAAAGUAGUGCACUAUAUAGAGAAUAGGGCCCUGGUCUAAAGUAGUGCACUAUAUAGAGAAUAGGGCCCUGGUCUAAAGUAGUGCACUAUAUAGAGAAUAGGGCCCUGGUCUAAAGUAGUGCACUAUAUAGAGAAUAGGGCCCUGGUCUAAAGUAGUGCACUAUAUAGAGAAUAGGGCCCUGGUCUAAAGUAGUGCACUAUAUAGAGAAUAGGGCCCUGGUCUAAAGUAGUGCACUAUAUAGAGAAUAGGGCCCUGGUCUAAAGUAGUGCACUAUAUAGAGAAUAGGGCCCUGGUCUAAAGUAGUGCACUAUAUAGAGAAUAGGGCCCUGGUCUAAAGUAGUGCACUAUAUAGAGAAUAGGGCCCUGGUCUAAAGUAGUGCACUAUAUAGAGAAUAGGGCCCUGGUCUAAAGUAGUGCACUAUAUAGAGAAUAGGGCCCUGGUCUAAAGUAGUGCACUAUAUAGAGAAUAGGGCCCUGGUCUAAAGUAGUGCACUAUAUAGAGAAUAGGGCCCUGGUCUAAAGUAGUGCACUAUAUAGAGAAUAGGGCCCAGGUCUAAAG